rnacentral:rRNA from 1 species
AACGAACGCUGGCGGCAGACUUAACACAUGCAAGUCGAGCGCCCCGCAAGGGGAGCGGCAGACGGGUGAGUAACGCGUGGGAAUCUACCCAUCUCUACGGAAUAACGCAUGGAAAUGUGUGCUAAUACCGUAUACGUCCUUCGGGAGAAAGAUUUAUCGGAGAUGGAUGAGCCCGCGUUGGAUUAGCUAGUUGGUGGGGUAAAGGCCUACCAAGGCGACGAUCCAUAGCUGGUCUGAGAGGAUAAUCAGCCACACUGGGACUGAGACACGUCCCAGACUCCUACGGGAGGCAGCAGUGGGGAAUAUUGGACAAUGGGCGCAAGCCUGAUCCAGCCAUGCCGCGUGAGUGAUGAAGGCCCUAGGGUUGUAAAGCACUUUCACCGGUGAAGAUAAUGACGGUAACCGGAGAAGAAGCCCCGGCUAACUUCGUGCCAGCAGCCGCCGUAACAC